rnacentral:rRNA from 1 species
AGCGAACGCUGGCGGCAGGCUUAACACAUGCAAGUCGAGCGCCCCGCAAGGGGAGCGGCAGACGGGUGAGUAACACGUGGGAACGUACCCUUUGGUUCGGAACAACCCAGGGAAACUUGGGCUAAUACCGGAUACGUCCGUAAGGAGAAAGAUUUAUCGCCAAAGGAUCGGCCCGCGUCUGAUUAGCCAGUUGGUGAGGUAAUGGCUCACCAAGGCUACGAUCAGUAGCUGGCCUGAGAGGAUGAUCAGCCACAUUGGGACUGAGACACGGCCCAAACUCCUACGGGAGGCAGCAGUGGGGAAUAUUGGACAAUGGGGGCAACCCUGAUCCAGCCAUGCCGCGUGAGUGAUGAAGGCCCUAGGGUUGUAAAGCUCUUUUAGCAGGGAAGAUAAUGACGGUACCUGCAGAAAAAGCCCCGGCUAACUUCGUGCCAGCCGCCGCCGUAA